GUCGUCCUACACAAUAACUCCCCUCUCUUGUCUCCCUCACACCAGCCAUGAAGGUUUUCAAAGGUUUCUAGAUCUACUCAACAUCUCAUUUUUCUAUGAUCCAGGAAAAUUUCUAAUCAGUUAUCAGAGAAUCAUAGAGAACACCAGAACGUUAUGUCAAGUAACAAUUAUGUAUUUUAGAAAGGACAAGUAACAGAUUACAUCAAACUUCAGAACUUCUCAAAUAUCUAGUUAUUAUACACAUUCCCAUCUGUCUUGCAGGGAGGGAUCUUGGUCGGCUUAACAGUUUCAGGUAAAAUAGGCUGCAUAAUAGUAUAUAUUACAAUAAUAAAUGUACAAUGUUUACAUGAAAUAUGUUUUAGAAGCAAAAAAAAAAAAAAAACAAAAAAACAAAGAUGCAUCUGCAUCAAAAGGCGACCUUUUAAAACGCCACAACUGUUUUUUACAUUCACUCUUGCAACAGGUCACAAGAUGGGGUCACUAAGCUCAGAUAAAUCACUAUGAUGCACAUAAAAUACAGAAAGAUUGGUUAUUUUAUAUAUAUUAUAUAUAUAUUUAUCUCACACUUUAGCAUCUGAGACAUAAACUGAGAAUUUAAAAUUUAUUCUCUUCAGAUAACAAAUCAUUUUUUAUUUUUCAUAAACAUGGUGCCCACAAAAGCACAUAGGUAAGGCACAAUAGGGUUUUGUUACAGAACAGUGUGCAUCAUGUUUACUUAACCAGAAAACGUGCAUUAUCUGUGCAAGUUCAUGCUGCAAACCCAACACAUAUACAAUAAAAAACAAAAAGGAAACUGAGCUUUAAACAAAAUCAAAAUUGGUACAAUUCCAGCUGUUUCACAUAUUCAUUUGGACUGACAACAAUAUAUCAACAGGUUGUUUUUUAAAAAGCCAAUUGUUACGUUACAAGUAAACUCUGCUCAGCAACGAUUUUAAUCUGAAAUCAUAAACAGUAAUAAAGCAACUUUACUGAAACAAAGUAAAUACCGAGGCACAAAGCAACAGUCACUCGUGCAUUUACUAUAUUGCAAGCUUUCAUGACCCAAAAUUUCAAAUAUAAAUUUUCAAAGACACAUUUUGCUGCAACAAU